rnacentral:rRNA from 1 species
AUUGAACGCUAACGGCGUGCCUAACACAUGCAAGUCGAGCGGCAGCAUGAUCUGUAGCAAUACAGAUUGAUGGCGAGCGGCGGACGGGUGAGCAAUACAUAGGAAUCUACCUUGUAGUGGGGGAUAACCCGGGGAAACUCGGGCUAAUACCGCAUAAUCUCUACGGAGCAAAGCGGGGGAUCGUAAGACCUCGCGCUAAAAGAUGAGCCUAUGUUGGAUUAGCUAGUUGGUGAGGUAAUGGCUCACCAAGGCGACGAUCCAUAGCUGGUCUGAGAGGAUGGUCAGACACACUGGGAGUGAGACACGGCCCAGGCUCAUGCGGGAGGCAGCAGUGGGGAAUAUUGGACAAUGGGCGAAAGCCUGAUCCAGCAAGGCCGUGUGUGUGAAGAAGGCCUUCGGGUUGUAAAGCACUUUUAGUUGGGAAGAAAAGUUCAUGCCUAAUAACUAUGAGUGAUGACGUUACCAACAGAAAAAGCACUGGCUAACUUUGUGCCAGCAGCCGCCGUAA